AUGUCAUUAUGUUAUGUAGGGCCCUCUAAUGAAUAAAUAGUAAAUACUCUCUUUUUUAGUCUUCAGUGUACAGCUAUGCUGAAACUGCACUGGUCCCCACACACUUAUAACAUUAACAAGCUUUGCUUUCAUGGCUUCUUCUCUCUUCACACAUACACGAGACCUUUCUCUGAAUUCCAAGUCACAAACUUCUUACCACUAAGCCUUCCUUUUCACUUCGUUUCAGUCUGUUUUGGGCUUCUUGCUGUUGUUUUUGGGUUUAAUUUCAGUGGAGGAAUGAAUGAAGGGGUGUCUCUCAAGCUGAAGCUGAAGCUGAGUCUGAGUAUGGUUUUUGUGGAGGUGCUUUUGUUGAUUUCGAGUCUGAAUGAAUGUUACUGCAGCCCAUUCAACGAUUUUGGAGGUCCAUUGUCGACUGACAGAAGAGUAGAUGGUUUUCUUCCUGAGAUCUCUCCAGAUUCAGCUCCUCAGCCCCUUCUUCCUCUUCUUGCACCUGCUCCUUUAGCACCUUUCACAAACAGUACUGUCCCAAAGUUAUCAGGACAAUGCACAUUAAAUUUCACUGCUGCCCAAAGUUUGAUGAGCACAACAUCAAUUGAUUGUUGGUCUGUUUUUGCGCCAUUGCUGGCUAAUGUUAUAUGCUGUCCACAGUUAGAAGCCACUCUUGCAAUACUUGUUGGCCAAUCCAGUAAAGAUACCAAUGCUCUUGCUUUAAAUGGGACUGUUUCAAAGUAUUGCCUUUCAGAUAUUGAGCAAAUUUUGGUGGGUCAGGGUGCAGCAGCUAAUGUGAAUAAGAUAUGCUCAAUUCAUCCUUCAAAUCUCACUGAAGGGGCUUGCCCUGUUAAGGAUGUCAAUGAAUUCGAGGGCACUGUGGAUUCUUCCAAGCUACUUGCUGCCUGUGAAAGUAUUGAUCCUGUUAAAGAAUGUUGUAAUCAAGUUUGUCAAAAUGCCAUAGUAGAAGCUGCGACAAAAAUUGCAUUAAAAGGUUCUGAAGUGUUGAGCAUAGCUGGGUCCCGUGGUUUAACUGAGCAGUCAACAAAGGUUGUUGAUUGUAAACAGAUUGUACUCCGAUGGCUGGCUGGUAAACUCGAUCCUUCUCGUGCAAAGGAGGUUCUCAGAGGACUAUCUAAUUGCAAAGUUAAUAACGUUUGCCCUCUGGUUUUCCCUGAUAUGAGACAUGUUGCGAAGGGCUGUGGGAAUGGGAUUAGUAACAAGACAGAAUGUUGUAGUGCCAUGGAGAGCUACGUGUCUCACUUGCAGAAGCAGAGCCUCGUAACCAACUUGCAAGCUCUGAAUUGUGCUACAACUCUAGGAAUGAAGUUACAGAGGUCAAAUAUUACAAAAGAUGUUUAUAGCCUUUGUCAUAUAACCCUUAAGGAUUUCUCCCUUCAAGUUGCAAUUCAAGAGUCUGGAUGCCUUCUACCAAGCUUGCCUUCUGAUGCAACAUUUGAUCAGUACUCAGGGAUCAGCUUCAUUUGUGAUUUGAAUGACAAUAUUCCUGCUCCAUGGCCAUCUACAUCUCAGUUAUCAGCAUCAUGCAAUAAAACCAUAAAAAUUCCAGCACUUCCUGCUGCUGCAAAUGCUCAAAGUGGCAAGGCAAGGAUGCAUUUGGUUAGCAGAUUGCACUAGAUUGAACAUGGUGAAACUGUUCCAUGGGGAGAGGCGGGCAUAGAUGAGGCCGCGGGUAACAGUAUAGUUGCCUUUAGGGCUAUAGGCUAUUCUACUUCACCCUAUAAUCUCUUGAAAGCUACAUAUCCAGAUAUUGCUUGGCAUAUCAUGCAUGGCUUUCCACUCUCGUCCUCGAAUCGAACCUCGUGUGUGUGAAAAACCGGUUGAAUGCAUGAGAUGGGAUGGCAAAAGGCAGCCUCCUCUGCCGGAGCGAAGUGGAUAUCUGGAAGUGAUCGUCCAAGCUUUUUCUAUCUCUCAAAUAUUUUCCGGUUACUCUCUCUCAUCUUUCAACAUCUAAGGAUUGAAAUAUGAGAAAGAAGAUGUUUGAGAUUGAAAUGUAAAAUGUUAAAACAACAGGGGACAUAUAAAUAACGUACAGUUUUUUGGCGCAA